UAGUAGAAGGAAAAACAGAGCAGAACAGAGGGGAAAGAGAGAGAGAGAGAGAGAGAGAGAGAGAGAGAGCUAAGGUGCAAAGUUAGAGGAGAAUUGAGGGAAACGAAGUAAGGAGAGUCGGGAUUUGGGAAACAAACCUCAGAAUUGAAGCUGAAAGUUGCAAUUGCGUAGAUAAACAACAUGGUUUGGGGCUGAGGAGACCGAGAUUAUACAACCAGAUAGCUCGACUCAUUGAGUUAUCAUUUUGAGGGGUCUUAGAGAGCUAGGAGCUCGACUAAUCGCACAGGAUAUCUUUUUGAACAACGGGGAUCGGCGCCAAGGGAUCUUUUGCAGUAGGGCCACUCCUAGUAUAAGUAGUAAGUUCUUGUAGAAUGUUAAAAUUAAGUUACGACCUGAAACUUUUGUUUAGUUGGGUUAGUGAUAUGGUUGUGGAAAGUACUCUCUUGAGAGUUAUAUAUAUAUCCAAACCGGCUGAAUUGGUUAUAUGCUUUUGAUAUGGCUUGCUAAAUUGGUUAACUAUUUGGGAGGUGGAAAACAUGUUAUGAAUAAAUUGUUUAUGUGA